rnacentral:rRNA from 1 species
UGGCGGCGUGCCUAAUACAUGCAAGUCGAGCGGACAGAAGGGAGCUUGCUCCCGGAUGUUAGCGGCGGACGGGUGAGUAACACGUGGGUAACCUGCCUGUAAGACUGGGAUAACUCCGGGAAACCGGAGCUAAUACCGGAUAGUUCCUUGAACCGCAUGGUUCAAGGAUGAAAGACGGUUUCGGCUGUCACUUACAGAUGGACCCGCGGCGCAUUAGCUAGUUGGUGGGGUAAUGGCUCACCAAGGCGACGAUGCGUAGCCGACCUGAGAGGGUGAUCGGCCACACUGGGACUGAGACACGGCCCAGACUCCUACGGGAGGCAGCAGUAGGGAAUCUUCCGCAAUGGACGAAAGUCUGACGGAGCAACGCCGCGUGAGUGAUGAAGGUUUUCGGAUCGUAAAGCUCUGUUGUUAGGGAAGAACAAGUGCGAGAGUAACUGCUCGCACCUUGACGGUACCUAACCAGAAAGCCACGGCUAACUACGUGCCAGCAGCCGCGGUAAUACGUAGGUGGCAAGCGUUGUCCGGAAUUAUUGGGCGUAAAGGGCUCGCAGGCGGUUUCUUAAGUCUGAUGUGAAAGCCCCCGGCUCAACCGGGGAGGGUCAUUGGAAACUGGGGAACUUGAGUGCAAAAGAGGGGGAGUGGAAUUCCACGUGUAGCGGGUGAAAUGCGUAGAGAUGUGGGAGGAACACGAGUUUUCGAAGGCGACUCUCUCGUCUGUGACUCACUCUCAGGAGCGAGAACGUGGGGAGGGGAGACGGAUUAGAUACCCGGGUUGUCC